rnacentral:rRNA from 1 species
UACGUAGGGUGCAAGCGUUGUCCGGAAUUAUUGGGCGUAAAGAGCGUGUAGGCGGUCCGGUAAGUCAGCUGUGAAAGUCAAGGGCUCAACCCUUGAAUGCCGGUUGAUACUGUCGGGCUAGAGUCCGGAAGAGGCGAGUGGAACUCCCGGUGUAGCGGUGAAAUGCGCAGAUAUCGGGAGGAACACCAAUGGCGAAGGCAGCUCGCUGGGACGGUACUGACGCUGAGACGCGAAAGCGUGGGGAGCAAACAGG